CUUAUCACUGUCGCCCUAUAAACUGGACAAGAUGUUCACCUGUAUGCAGGGAGGACUACAUUGCCUUAUCAGGAGAACCCAGCAGGACCUGAUGUUAUACACAUGCACUCCGAUAUCUUCCUAGUGGGAAUGUAACUGGACACGACCACUUUAGAGAAGAAUUCGGGAAAGUGGACUACUGAAGCUGAACAUGCAUGCACCUUGACUAGCGUUCCAUUCCUAGGGAGGAAACUGAACAUACACGUGAGCAGCACCGUCAUUAGAUGCACCACAGUUGAGCCCCGCAGAGAAUGUAUGGAGAAAAGGCUUCUGAUUGAGUCCAGGCAGACAGGAUGUUCUUGACGCACGGCCGGCCAGCGAUGACCCCAGACCUGUAUCUGAUGAAGCCAUAGAUGGGGGAGUGCUGGAGGUUGUUUUUCAAACUUAGGUAAUAUUUAUACCUCCCCAUUUUGUUUUUGGGGUUUUAUUUAUUUUUUAUUUUUUUCAGGCUAGGGCCCCAAGCCAAUUGUACGAUCUUUCCAUGCCAGGGUGAGUCUAUGUGUCUUGCUUCCCUUUGCCAUUUUGUAUAGAGUCUUGAGGAGAAGAGCAUGUGUGGUCUAAAAGAAAAUGAGUAGAAUCUGCAGAGAGCUUGAGUGAGGCCCAUGGGCUCCACAGCAGGAGGCCAGAAUGGGGCAGGUUCUCUUGUGCCAUGGGCACGAUUUGUGGUCCAGCCAUGUCAAAGCCAUUUCAUGAAGGAAAAGCAAGCUGAGUAGAAGGCAGAAGUCUUUUCUCUUGGCCAUUGCCCUGUGCACAAAACUGGCCCCACUGGCAAAGCAAGACGAAGCUACCCAGGUGCAAGGCUUAGAUGGGGGGACCAGAAGGCCAUUUGGAUGAUGUUUCAUGACCCCAAGGCACAGCAAAUGAAAUUAUACUAAGAGUCUCAAAAAAGCAAAGAAAGAAAUAAAAGGAGAUACCCAUCAUACAAUUCCGAUUGUAGGUCUCAUUCCCAGACCUCUUUUCUGUUAUCACGAUAAAUUAAUAUUUUGGUAAAUUCUGUAAAGUUUUUGUGAAUAGUGUAAUGAUUCCAUCAUUGUCACAGCAAAACAUUUAUUUAUUGAAUGGCAUGUGUAAAAUAGACUUCAGUUUUUACAACCUUGUUUAAUAUUUACUCACUUUUAAAUACACCUCAAAAAUACAUAGUUUAUGUGUGUUAAAUAUACCUAAGUUGUAUUGCAAUACGUUUGUAAUUCAAAAACAUGUUUUGGCAAAAUGGUGCCCUGGUUUCUUAGCUGUAAGGAUCACCAAAUGUGCAGAAGCCGAGAUGAAAGGUAAGUUGAUAUCUUUGGUUUUUACUUUUAGCUCUGAAUUUUCUUUCAAAGGGGUUUGAAACGUAAAAUUGCAAAACUCACAAAAAGGAGGGCAGCAGAGCGAUUCCUUGGUCUUCUGAACAUCAUCACAUUUACUUCUUUUGUUUUCCAACAAAGAAAGGAGCUACGCCAUACACCCCAUAAGUAUAUGGCCUGGGCCUCGCUGACAGAGAACACAGACCUAAAGGGAAAUCGUCCAUCACAAGUAAGAAAACACCAAGGACUCAAACAGUGACAUUGGGAAAAACAGAGAGAGAGAGAGAAAAGAAAAAACAAAACAAAACAAAACAAAAAACGAGAUAGGAGAAAUCUCAGAUUUUUUUUUCACGAGUAUUUGGGGCUUUGAACUUCAUGUUUGGAGAAUAACUGGUGACAAAUUCCUUUCUUGUUGAUGCAAGUUGGUAACUGGAAAUUCUACUCCGAUGAAACCACAGAUACAUUCUCAGACAACACACUAACCAGAGAUUCCCCACCUCCCGAAGGCGCAUGCAGACAUGCAGACUAGCUGGUGAAUUCCAAGAGAUCAGGCCCUGUCUGAGGGUCCUUGACAUCCUUGGGGAAUGCUGGGUUGUGACAAAGACAAGCCAACUUCCACCAAAACCCUGCAUUGUGUCGUGACCCACCCCCUGGGGGGGCAAACUUUCUGCCACUUCCUCAGUGAAGCCACUCUCAGCCUGCCUGGCCUGCUCUCCUAGGCCCUCAAGUUGUGGCCAUGUUAACGCUCAGAGCGCUAUGCUAAUCAGGGGUGACUGGCAUUUUGUGCAAUUUUUUUUUUUUGGAUGGGGGUGCCCAAGACUAAAUCAGACUAAUGAUGAAACAAACACCAUUUUUCUAGCUCUGUUCUCACCUCAUAUUCCCAACAGUGACUUCUAGAAGUUUCCCUGAUAGCGUCUCACAUGAGUUCCACAGACCAGCUCUGCCCGAUGCAGGUCGGCGUGCCCCCGCUCCCUGUCCCUGGGAUGUACCAAGCUGCCGAUGCACAGACGACGAAGCCAACGGUGAGGGCACACACCGCUGAAUCCUCAACAGCACGGCCGCUGAUUUCCUCCAAGGAGCUGUUCUCGGUGGCCCCUGUCACAUAACCUCUCCCAAAUCUGUGUGUUUAUGGUUUCAAAGCCACUGUCCCUAUUUCCUUUUAUCACUGACCAUGCUGGUAUUGUUGGCGUUGCUGAGAUCUUGCAAUAUUAAGAUCGUGCUGAGAUUCUGAUCAAACAGCUGCCCAGUUCUGGGCUCCCUCUUCCUUGCAUACCCCUCCACGUGGACAUCAAGUGACAGAACUGUGCUGUAAUCACCCCAACUCUCUAGCUCAUGCUCCAAAUCUGUAUGCCUGAAAACUCAUCCCAGAAGGCUCCUUGGGGUGUAUUGCAAAUUACUCCAGCUUCUUCGAAGACAUCAGCACACACACCCUCACCCCCCCGACCCCCGCCACACCCACCUGCACCCUGCUAUGGACAUUCCCACAGGAUCCACGCUAUGGGGGUGCCCCACACAUCAUGUAGGUAUCUAAGAAAGGUUUGUGAAAGGAACAAUCAGUCACUUUCACUGAAA